ensembl:lncRNA
GGAAUAUUUUAGUGCCUGGGUAGCCAGGGUCUGUAAUUUCAAGUCAGUGAUCUGGCAAUGAUCAGCAAUCAAACAAAGCAAAUUCCUGUACGAUAUUACAUGCUUCAAUGACAUUUUGGUUUCUGACCAAAAAGCAGUGAGCUUUCAGUAAUAAAAGAAUCAUUCUGUGGACUGUGGUCAUACUGUCACUUUUGCAGCUAUUGGCACAGGUUAACACUUCUUAAUAUAUGUGUAAUAAUGCAAGACGUAGCCCUGUAAUUUUUGCACUGUAAUUAAAAUACUCAAUGUAAUUCAACCACACUUAUAGAGAGCACUUGAUACCUGUGGUGUCCCCUUCAUAUCUUUUAAAAGUCAUCAUGAUUUGUUUAUGACUCAGGAAUAACUAAGGGAUCAUAAGGGAUCCUGCUUGAGAAGCUGUUACUGGAGCCAGACUGAAAAACAGCAGCUAUUCCAACUGCUGCAAAAGGGAAGAACAAGGGUGCUCUUGUACUGCCAAACAAAUAUUGUAAGGAACUGAACCCAGUGUCGUCCUGUUUGCUGCCUGCCAAGUGUGGCCACCUGGAGGACAAGAAAGAUGCACUGGGCAUUUAAUUCUGCAGCUGUUCUACAGCUAUGGAAGAACAUGGCUUUGGGAUAUAGGCUACAUGCUGCUCUAGGUAAUAUACCCAGCGAUGGCUGUGGCCAGAAUCUUCAACAUGAGAAGGGAAAAGAUGUUGUGCAGCACAGAAGAAAUUAAUGAAUGAAGAAAGCUGAACUUAGAAAGGAAAUAUAAUUGCACAACACCAGGAGGAUAUUUCUGAAUUAGCAAGUUAAAUAACAGAUACUUCUAUAUUUUGAUGUCUUACCUUCAUUCAACAAAAAUCCAUCACUUUCGAUAUGAGAUUCUUUGGUCCUGCUACAUGAAGUGUAGACACAAAAAUUGUAACUAUGAAGGAGGAAAAUGGCUAAAAAGUAUUUUCAGGUUUGUAGUCUCCUUCAGUUUCUACUGAAUUAGAUUUCUUUAGCAUAAAAAGAGGUGUAUUUUUCUGUGAGGUUGGAACAAUUGGCAUUGUUGACUUCUUAUGUCAGUAAUGAUGAACAUCUCAUUUUGUUAAUUUCAGUAGCAUUUUCAAAAGAAAAAAAUGUCAUCUGUUUCUGGUGCACGGCUCUUUAAAUUUCAGGGAAGAAGUUCAGAUCAUGGCUCAAGUCAUGUUUUAGUGACUGUAAAGUAUUCAUUAGGAAAAAUGGCAAACAGUUUACAACUACUACAUGUGCUGGCAGGCUAUUGCCUCUAGCUUGGUAACAGUACUGUUGUGAUCUGAUAGUUGUGUUAUUGCCUGCAGUAUAGUCACUGACUCAGUAGGAGAACUUUGCUAACAAAAUCAAGUCAGAUGUUGCUAAAAGCCUGAACAAUAUGACAUGAAUUAAAAACUACAGACGGAACUUCACACGUACCAUAUAAUGACUGUUUACAACCUAAUGCCAAUGUGAAGAUUUUCUUUGUGUUAGUUUUGGGACUCUCAGGGAGCGAGGCUUUUGAGUAAUGCUUGUCUUCGGUCACUGGAGAGGCAAGAGUUACAAAAACUGCUCCUGGAGUAGCUCAUAAAUAUCAAUAGGCCCAGUUUUCUGUGAAACCCUGUGGCAAGCAGUACAAGUUUGAAAACAAGAGUGUCUUCUCUGGGCAAAAAUGGAUAAUGAAAUUGUCCUGCAAGUUGGAUGUGUGCUGUGAGCUGCCAGCUGGGCCCCUCCUCUAAAAAAGUGGAUUUAAAAUACUUUGUAUAUUUGCAACCCAAGGCAAAAAAUCUAUUUACAUUCCAAAGCAAACUCCCCCAACUCUGAAGGCUGAUACUUCCUCAUUUCUAUAGGGAGUAUGCCAAGCUAAAUCAUUUGCUCUUGCUGGCAGGACUGUUUUUAAAUUCCCAGGUGGAAACCUAAGGAAACCAGAUGUCAUUUGAAAAUUUAUUUCGUGAGAUAUUAAAAACAAAACAGAAAAGCAACACCACAGGAUGCAUCUCUCCAUGCAGAAGGUAAAAUGCAGUACAAAAAACAGUAGUACCCAAUUUGGUCUAGCCCAUUUAAAUUACAGUUAUUUUCAGGUGCUGCCACAGGGCAAGCUCACGGCACGUUCUCUGGGCCCUGAGGAUAUCACCAGCCCUGAGCAUCCCUGCCCACCCUCCUGGGUCUCCCAGGUUCUUGCCUGCCCAGGCCCAGGUCCACACAUGAGCUCCUGAGUUGUCAGCCUGUCAAUCCCAGCCCUAGUGAGGUCACGGCAGGGCCAGGCUCCAGCAGCCUCCCCACAACCCAGCCAGGGGCCCGUACAUACUGAUGAUGGGCAUCUAUCAAUCUCAAGCAUGCCCUUAGAUCUUCUAACAGGACCGCUUUGACUGUCACUGCAGAUAUGGUUUAUGUGAAUCUGUAUGAACAGAUCUGAAUUUCACCCUGUUUGAUGAAUACUUUUUUAUACAUGCUGAGUGAAGGGUCAUGUAGGUGUAAUUAUAGAAAUGUAAAAUCAGCUUGAUAUAUUUGUUCUCUGCAGUUAUUUCUGAAAUAAUCUGGAAGGUCAUAAAGAUAAUUUGUAAAACAUGUGCCAGCUUGUAAAAAUGUUUGGGAGUGUGGAAGACCUAUUAGUUCUACCCUUAGCUUAUUUAUAUCCUUUCUGGACAGAGGAUGGGUAAGUAACUCUGAGUAUAUGUCCCUGGCUGAGUCAUAUCCUUAAAAUGUUGAAAACCAGGAAAUUAUUGUUUAUGAGGGAUAUAUGUUUCAUUUUUCUCACUGUUUUAUUGCCUUACAAAUCACGUUAUAGGGAAAAGCAAAUAUUUUGAAACGUAAUUAAUAACUUUUGAGAGCUAAUGGAUUCAAAGAUGAGCUAUAGCAGUAAUUGGUUGCAUUGAGACAUUUAUGUUUUGUAAAGCUGCCCUGACUGUUUUUCCAUUACUACCCCUUGGUAAUGUACAAGUCAAUUUAUCUUUCAAAUGUUCUUUAAAUAUGCUCAGAGCUUUUCCUCCCUCUUCAGGCACAUUGUGAGUGUCUAUCUAUAGUUUCCUCUGUGAAGCUUCAAGGGUGACCAUUCAGUGAAAGCAAGAGUCUCUUCCUACUGAAAGAUGAAGAAGUAAUUAUUAGUAAUGUUGCUUCUUUUCACUGUCUGUUUCCAUGGGGCAUUAAAUGAUAAUCAUAAGUUAUGUAGGUGAUUUAAAGCAGGAGUCCACAAGCCUCAUGGCACAGAUACAGGAAUGCACAUCCAGGAAGGCCAUGACUGGCUCAAUGCUGCUGCGGCCAACGUGCUGUGAAGCUUCAGCAUCAAUUUAAGCUGGAAGCAGCAAUGUAAAGAUUGUUCCCAGAACCUUGCAAUGUUAGGUCUGAGAUUUACCUUUGUAUAAAUUCUCCAUUAUUCUCUGAAUCAAUUUGAUAAAGUUGGCUUAGUCAAAGCCUUGUGGGAUUUUUAUCAUGAAGUUUUUUUUUUCCAUAGACUUCUUAGGGUUCUCAGUCAUACUGGAGAAAGAUAAAUGAGGCUGGUGAAAAAAUAAGCCAUGAUUAUGAGGAGCCUGACCCUGCAAACUAUUUGUUCUCUCUUAUAACCUUGCAGGUCUGGCUUCCUGUUCCUGACCAAGGGAAUGAGAACCAAAAGCUUCAGUCAAUGCUGUGUUACGUAUAUGGGUUUCUGCUUCUCUUAUACUAACUCUGUUAACAUGAAGCAUACAACCAAUGUUUUAGGUGUUGUUUUCCUUCUUCUGAAGGCCUGCUAAACUGAGAACAGUUUAUUCAAAGCAAAAUAGCAUUUGGAUGCCAAAAGAGCAGCAAGGAAAAUGGCUAAAAUAACCCUCUGAUCUCCUUCCCCUUCCCCACUCCCACAAAACUAAAAUCAUUCUGUACCUGAAACAGUCUUUCUGCCCAUGCCUCUGUUAUAUUGCUGUCUAUAGUGGAAGAACUGUAUUGCUUGCUCUGGUCCCUGACUCUCCCUGACUCCAUCAUACAGUGCAUCAAAACAGGAGCCAGGAACUCUGGCACUAAAUGGACCACAGGUCUUGUCACUGGUGCAGUUCAGAGCAGUUUCUGGCAUGUUUUUAGCCCAGGACUAUUGCUUAUUCCACAUUCAGUUUACGAAUUUAACAGUAUGAAUGUAGGCCUUUGUGCCAGACAGCCUCAGAGCCAGAAAAUGGUCUCAGGCACAUUUCAAUUCACAGUAUAAAGGUAGCAUUCAGGUCAAAAUGUGUUUUUACACCUCUGUCAGCUUUCUCAAAAGCACCACUUAGAAUCCCUCUUUCUAAGACUGUUAUUUUAGACUAUUAAAUUGCAUAGACUUCUGGAUUUUAAAGCUAAGAUAAACUCAAGACAUUAUUUCUUAGGCUGAAAGAAGCAGUUCAAGUGUGGCAUGAAAAUAGGACCAUGAAAUGAAGAAGAAAAAUGAUAAAUUUACAGCAUACUCAGAGAUUGCUAUACCCAAAAGCAAUUCAAAGAGCAGAAGAAACUUGAAUUACUGUGGGAAUACAAGAAAGGCUAUUCAGAGCAGAAGCUGUGUAGCAAGAUAAAUGGCGUGAGAAAGCAAUGCUGAGAACCAAGGACAUUUCCACAAGAAGAGAAAAAUGAAGUCAAGUAAGCUGCAUGAUGGCUACAUGAUAACAACCAUGAUUGGAGGAAGGGCGCAUGGCUAGGAAUGACUCAUGACUCUUAUUGGAUAAGUGCCUGCAUGCACGGUUAAGGAGUGCUUACGAAAUGUUUUGUUGACAUUUAGAGGGAGGUGGGAAAAUUACUAGAGAAAACUUGUGAAAGUAUUUAAGGGAUGUUAGAACCUGCAAUAAAUGAUUUGAAUCAUUCACAUCUGAGUCCGUGCCUCAGACAUUGCAAAUUACCACCUUUGCACAUUGCUUGAAACUUGAGUUUCCCAGUAACACUGAGAGGCUGUCUUCCCUGGAGAUCAGUACAGCUCUAAGGCCUUUCUUUGUAUGUUGUGUUUCUUAGCAGGGACACAAUGAAGCUGUUUAAAUGAUCAUACAAAUAAGUACAACAAUUCUCCUUUUGGAAAGCUCUCAAGAAACACAGGUCUUCUUUCAUAUUGUGUUAGCAAUUAAGAGAUUGUGCUAAGUUUUGAUUUCUCUGAAAACAAUGAGUGCAAUUGAAAGAAACUUACCAGUCAGAAGCUUGACAGUUGGAUUGCCCGAUGCUGUCUUCCUCUAAUCUGGCAUCUUUCUGAUUUCUCUCUCUGAAACCCAGUUGAAUGGAUCUCGUCUAUUGUGUGGCAAAAUAUUGAAUUCUUAGAGGAGUAUCUAACACUUAGAAGUGGACGUAUCUCUUGGCUUUUACUGAAGAAAAAUUGAAAUUUCCCCUGUGCAACAUGGAUUUUUUGAGUAAAACUGAUUUUUUUCUAAUGUAAAUACAUACUGAUUGGAAAGCUCAAUUAUCUAUAUGUACAUAUUUACUGAAUGAAAGAAACCUCUCUCCCAAAAUAGACAACAAUAGGAACAUUUUUAUUUAUAAAGACAGAAUAUAAUGAUUUUGGCUGUUAUUAUGUACAGUGAUACACAUUUGGUAACCUUGAAAAAUGAAUAUAUUGUUCUUGAGCUACUGCUAAUGUGUUAAGAUGCUUGCAGCAGUUAGAGACAUGUUUGCUGUACAAAUGGCAAGGGCUUGUAUAAGUUUGUUUCGUAAUGUGUUGCUAUCUUUCACUAACAUGUAUGUAAUACAAAGGAAUUCUAGGUGGGAAUUCUAUCUGUACAGAGAUUGCACAGCAUCAUUUCAUUUGCAUCAAUUUAUGUCAUGCUCUUUUGAAAAAACACUACCUUCUUAUCUACAAAUAGAGGUAGAGGUUUGCUUAGUACCUGAUUUCUUGUUCAGUUUCUUCAAGAAGAGACAGUUAAUUUUGAAUAGUGUCAUCUUUUCAAAAAGAGAACAAAGUAUGAAUUAAAAAUACUAUGUGAAGUAAUACAAACUUUCAAGGUAAAAAACAAAACAAAACAAAAAUGACAACAACAACAACAACAAAAGCAAGCAAGCAAGUAUACAGCUUCUUGCCCUUGCAAAGUGGGAGCCAUCAUUUUAGAAUUCUUCAAAUCAUGUCAUCAUUUCCUAUAAUAUCACAUAAUGGCCAGCUGGCACACUGAAAUAAUGAAAUGUUGACUCUACUGAAUAUUAAGAGUGUUAUUCUUAUUAUGAAGGCCAUUGUUAGUGCAUAUAGAAGCUCUUAAAGAUGCAAAUCUUUGUUACUUUUCAACAGCCUGCUUUAGAAAAAAGAAAUUCAAUGGAAUGUAGCACAGCCUUGUUGUUAUAAUAUAUCUUGUAAUACAUACUUUUUGUUACAUCAAAAGCUUCUCAGAUGGUCAAAGACAAAAGACAUAAUUGAAUUACAUAUUUAAUUUGUUUUAACGAGACACCUGUAACUGGGACACUUUAAGGUACGAAACAUAAAUCUUGUGUACAUAGAGCAGAAGAUUGUUUUCUAACAAGAAGUCAAAAGUAGCAGGUUGGGAACCAUUUUUCUCUUUUUUACUUAAAUAUAGCUAAUAUCAAACAUUAACAAUUACUUCUAAUAAGAAGCACUGUAAAGUUAUGAUUGGAAUAAAAUGGCAUUUGUUUUUAAUAAUGCAUAUGAUAUAGUAUGAUAUUAAGGUUGGAAGUAAUUCAACGCACAGAUUAUUUUACUUUUACAGUCAAAGAGUACAUCCUUCUCUCUCCAAUCUUUCCACACUACGUGGCUCAAAGGAAAUCAUACAGGUAUUUCAUAGCUCUUAAUGUUUAAAUCCCAGUUCAUGCACACGGUUAUUCUUGUGAAUCUAUGGAUUUAUCCAUAUCUAUGAAAUUAAACAAAUGCUUUAGGCUUUGUUGGAAGGGAAUGCAUAAAUUUUUACUAUCAAAAAUGGAAAUUGAUUGAAGUUUGUAGAGAAAAACAGUUUUUUGUUUAUUUUUGACUAAACUAUGUGUUGGUCCUAUGAAUGUGUCUCACUAAUAAUUUGAACAUCACAUCACAAAAAUACUACAACUUUUUAAAAGAAAAAACAAAGCACAUCAAGCACACAAACAGAUCUGUAAGUCACAUCUCAGUUACAGAAGUUUUGCAUGUGCUUCUUUCAUUCUUACUUUGUGAACACCUCAGGACAAUUUACAUACAAAUUUCUUAAUAUGUUGUUUUAAAGAGUAAGAAAAUGAAGUUGAAAUUCUCCUUUAAUUAUUGCCCUCAGCUGACUGGGGCUAAAGUGGGACUAGUGUCCAAACAAUAACUUAUUAUUUUUUGUGUGCUCUAUACCAGCCACUGCCUGACGUUCAGACUACUGCUUUGCAGCAGAAAGAAUAACGAGUUAGAAAGACAAGGGCAGAAGGUAGAGGGAGAGGGAUAUUGGGGUAGAGCUGGCAGAGAAGCUAGAAAGAGUAGAUGGAGAGCAGAGGAGACUUGCUGGGAGGAGUUGGUGGGAAUCCAGGUCACUGAAGGAUUUAGGGGAUAUAAACAAAUCUAGAGAACCAAAAGUGGAUUCUGUAUAUGUCUCUGGGACUGAAUGAGCAAGAAAAUGAUUGGCAUUAGGAAAAAGUGGCUUGAUAGUAUGGCUGGGACUGGCAGGGUGAAUAGAACCAGCAUAGACAAGGGCAAAGGCAGGGCAGAAAUUUUGUGCGUGGAGACUAUGCACUGUCAGAGCUUAUUUGGAAGCCCAGAUCCAUAAGUCUUAAUAGCCUUGUUUUGAGCAAUCCUGAUGCUGUGAUGGUUUCCAACAGGAGUAAAGCUAAAGGAGCCCAAUUUUUUAAAGUCUUAUAGGGGGAAUAAGCAGUUUCCUGUAGCUAUAGCAAAGGCUUUAUUUCUAGAGCAAACUAGUAAGAAAAAGGAAAUGGUAUAUCAUCCUGAAAGUAAACUGUAAAAUGUAUAUCGUAUUGCUGCUGAAUGUUGCCAUAACAGCCUUCAUUUCAUCAUGUAAUAACUUCUUUUAGCAUACUCUCUUGGAUUAAUUCCUUUUAAAACUUUGCGUUUGAAAAUAUUGAAUGUAGUUGCGCCCAGUUUUCUCUCCUUGGUUUCUUCAUCUCCUUCUCAAGAUAAAAUUACAGCAAACUCUGUGACUCUGUGCCAUGCUGAAAGCUACAUGAACAUUUAAUGACUAUAUUCUCAUCCAGACAUCUAAUGGACUGAAUUUUUUUUUUUUUUUUUGCUCAGGAUCACACAGGAUGUCUUUGGCAGAAUUUUAUUAGCUAGUUGCUAUGCCAUUUUGUCUUUUUCUCUGAAGUCAGAAAUAGGUCCUCCUUCUAUGAUUAUUUUAUUCCAUCAGCAAAUUCUAUUCUGAAUUAGAAUUAUUUUGUUCUAUUGUUCCAGAAUUGUUCUAUUCUGUUCUAGAAUUGUUCUAUUCUGAACAAUUAUUCCUCUUGAGACAGCGGAAAGUGAGCCUCAAUAUAUGGUGAACCCAUGGUGUUUGGAAAUGUUUAAUUUCUUCACUUCAGUUCACAAUCACUCUAGGGAAUUUCUGAGAAGGACCAAUAACUAUUUAGCAUCUAGAACUCAAAAACUUGCAGCAAACUUCUACUGCUAAAAUGGCUAGUGACCAUAAGAAUGAAUGUAUGGUCUACUGAGAGCAGCAGGCACUUCUUUCAUUAGCCUGAUAGAAAAGUAUUUCAUAAAUAUAUAGUGCUCUGCAGUUGAUGGAGUCUUCACAAAAUGCUGGUAGUUUUAAUGCAGAUUGCUACAAGAUUCCAUUAACUCACUGGUGAUGAUCUGAUUUUUUUUUUUUUUUUUUUUUUUACAGUGUAAAUGUGUUUUUCUUCUACUUUCUGAUUGGUAUGAAAACAAAUGAAUGUGUGCAGAUGCUGCUUUUAUGCCUGAAAUUAGCAGAACACCAUGCUUUCUCUCUCUUCAUUAUCAUUUUGAAUGAUCGCAACUUUCUAGAUUCAAGAAUAAGAAUGGAUUAAUUUGUAAAAUCAGAGACCCAAUCUCACAAAUACUUUAGGUGCUCCUGCUUCUUUGUUCAUGGCACAGAAGUUGAAACAUACAAAUUUUGAUAAAGGUUUAGUAACAAAUUGGGAGUAAUCUAUUGUCUGUUUCUACAAAGGAAAAAAAAGAAAACAUUGAAACACAUUAAAAAUAUGAAACUCUUAGAAGGUCAUUUAUAACAUUCAAUGCAGUCUUAAGUAGCUGACAAUGAUCGUAUGCUUACUCCUCUGAAAGCAAGAGAUGACUACAUCUUUCAGGCAAUUAAUUCAAAGACUGCACCUUAAAUAUAUGACUGUUUGAAAAAGCUUUCAGUACCGCUAAGUAUCCCGAGAAUAUAGCAUGUUAUAAUGUGUGCAAAACAUGGAGUGAUUUGACAUCUAACUUUGGAACCUGAACCUCCGAGCUUAGCCUUGCAAUUUCAGUCUCUACUGCCCUGUUUUCCUACAGUGACAUAAACAGAAGAUGGCACUGUUUAUUCAUUUGUCUGAAAAUAAAAAGAUAUUUUCUGUUCUUUCAAGGAAAAAAAUAAAUGCUAGUAUACAAGUAAAACAGAAAAGAAAAUGGAGGUGAUCAUGCUUUUGGAGAAAAUGAUACUUUCUGCUGAGUCAGGACACAUGCUUAUAAAAGCUGCAGUAUUGUCAUGGCUCAGAGAAGAGCUACCUUUUGGUGUGACAGCUGUAUAAAGUUCAAAGCCUCUGUGAAACAGGGGGCAUGAAAUACAACAUACAGAGAUCAAACACCAGAGGAGGAGAGGGCAUGUAUUAAAGUUGUUUUUUGUGUACUGAAAAAAAAUACUAUGAGAACAUAAUUAUACAAAAAGAUGCAUUUGAUAAUUGGCUUGUUAAUACAGGUAUCAUCCAACACAGGGAGUUUUCUGUGGAGAUGCAUGAUUGUUUUUUUCACCAAGGGAAGCCUUGGAAUUAACAAAGGGGCUCCUGAGCUCCUGGUCUUAUGAACAUCCACAUACAUGUUUUCAAGUCCUUUAUUUUAUGAGGGAACAUAAAAGGCCCAGAAUGUCAUUUUUGCAAAAUCAGAGUCUUGAUCUACAAAUCAUCCAAUUCUUGGAAAAAAAUAAAAAGAACGUAUUAAGACAGGGGCUGUAUUAAUAGUUCACUGCAAAUAUGUGUUAAUAUAGUACUACUUUAUUUCAGUUAAUGAAAAUUACUGUUAUCUAAUCUGAAAGUUUAUUUUGAGAAAGCAGUAGAUACUUUAUAGAUAAGCCUACACUCUUACACUUAAAUUAUUAGCUGUAGUUGGAGUUAAACUGAAUAUCUCCAAGAGCUUCUAACUAACACAAAGGUGGGUGCAAAGGGUGUUAUCUUCCCAUUAGCUCCAGUACUCCCUUUAUAGGUGGCUGUUGGCAAAGAUAAGAAGACUGUCCACAGGAAAGCAGGAAAUUUAGUUGCCAUUUGGGAAGUUUUACUGCUAAUUUUUCUUUUGCUUUUUUAUUUGUUUCUUGAUAUAAAUCCUAACUCUUGAGGACUGGCACUUUUGAGUAUUGCUGUGAUUUCCUGCUCAGUUGUUUCACUUAUCAAAUAGCUUCUCUUGUGUGACUAGAGCUAUUGAUCUGAAUAAAGUAAAGCAGGAUUUGGCCUAGCAUGAAAGUAAUCUUCAGGAUGUGAAUAAUACGAGCAAGCUGGAUUUUAAUUUGGAGAAGACUAUAAACUAUUUUUAUUUUCAAGCAAACAUAGCCAGCACAAUUCUAGAAAAGAAAUGCUAUUAAAUGUUUGCCAAAAUAAAUGGGGUUCUGUGAUCUUUUGGUAAUUGCUUAUGGUAUUGAAUAAGAUGUCCUGUUUUUCUUUGGAGAGUUUUCAACAGUUCAUUAAAAGAGCAGCACAGAGAGUUUGUGAUAGUCUAUGAAAAUGCUUGUAAUUCACUCCCUUUUCAGACUGAGAUAAAUCUGAAAUACGCCAUGCUAGUGAAGAGCUGAUUGAAGCUGAGCAUAUUUUCCUCUCUUUUGGUUACCACUGAAAGAAUGAGUGGAUUUUAUGGAACAAAUGUGUUUUCAGAAUUGAAGUGUGGGCUUUGGUGUAUUACAUGUCUCAAGGAACUUGAAAUGGUACUGUAAACUAUGUUCAUUUGCCCUUGUCCUUCAUUUCUUCUUAGUAGGAUUUUUCUUAUCCAUGACAGCAGUGUUAUUUAUAAAAAGGUGUUAUGGAAAGGAAAUAACUUAUGAGAAACCAAACAAGCAAAAACUCAUUUUGCAAGUGCAAGCUGAGAAAGAUACUCAUGCUAGGAGUACUUCCCAUAAGACUGUGUGACAGAAAAGGGCUUUAACCUUGUAACAAAUUAAUGUUUAUACUUGAAAGUCUUCCUGUUUUAUGUUUAAUUAUAACCUUAGAUCUGUAUUUUAGGUUUCUAAAUUUUUGGAGGCAAGCCAGUUUUGCUUUUAUUACUAAGCUUUCAAAGAGAUAGUUGGUUAAAUCUUAGGUAAGAAGACUGAAUUAUACAAUAUUAUAUAGAAAUCACUUUUUUAAUUUGAAAUCAAUAUUGCAAGAGGAGGAUUUUGAAGGAACAUUUGCCACACAAACCUAAGUUUCUUUUGAAAUUCUUGAUCCCAACUACCAACCCCCAGAGGUAACGUUCUACCUUUCCUAAUUUAUGUCAUAUUUUGCUGGAAUAAGCGAAUUGCCUUCUGUUUUCUUCUUUGUAAUCACUAGAAAAUUGAACUUUGAAUGUUAUGACCUAUUUCAAUGUAGCUGAUUGCUUGGCACAGAAUUCUAGUACAGUCUAUUGUGUACUUGUGAGAUAUACUUUUUGGGAAAGGAAUACAUAUGUGAAUCAAUGUAUUUCAUGGAUUUCCUGUCUAAUUUCAGAAUGUAUUAUAAUAUUCUCCUUGUAACAAAAGGCUAAUAGUCUAAAUGAAACUGCUUAAGUCAGUCCAGCCAGCAUGCUGUGCACCAACACCUUUGCUCUACAGAAAAUAUCAGAGAAGUUCAUCCAUUUGCCUACGCCUCACUGUUAAUACAUUAUGGCUAUUACCUAAGGUAUUGCUAUAGGAACUUCCAGAAUCUGUUUAUCUUGAAUACACAAUGGGUUUUUUAAGAUUUUUUUAAACACUCUUAGAAUCCUAUCAUUUUUGGAUUCGGAUCACCUUUAUCCUUGCAAGACAUACGUGCUUAUGGGUCACAUUUACAUUUGCAUGUGUGGGCUGAGAUGUAACUUGGUAUUACAUAGCUGCACACUCCUGAGUUACAAAAUAAGGCCAUGUGCAGGUCCUAAAGGUAAUGUUUCUUUUAGAAAUACGUACUUAUUUUCCCUUCUUUGCAUAGGGAAGGGCAUGGUCAAACUGGACUCUUACAAUAUAGUUACUGUGGCAGAAUUUAUCUUUCCACUGUUCUCCAUAAGCUUUUUAACGUCUUUGUCCUUUCAGAAGGACUCUGAAAUAUGGAGAGAGAAAAACAAAAACAAAUGAAAACAAAUCAGCAAACUUUCCAGCAGCUCCUGUAAGGAUUUCAUCAGCUUUUACAACCAGCUUUUAGCUCCUCUCUACACUUCGCUCACCUGGGACUUAGAAGAACUACAGUAGCUAGGAUUUUCCCUGUCCAAGCUGUGUAAGACUCUAGCAUUGUGUAUCCAGGCCACUUGGAUUUAUUUGCUCAUGUUUUUAAGAGGAAGAAAAUGCCUAAAUGACAUCUAAGGAUACAUUUUAUUUAAAACAAACAAAAAUCACAGCAAUAAUCUUGUUGCAUCCAGAAUGAACUUCAAAACCUUCCUGUGUUAUCAUUUGCCCUAUGUAAUUGCAAUGUCUGUUUUUACUGCACUUUUCUACUCUGAUGCACAACAAAAUUAAUUUCACAAUGACAAAGGAAAUCUUGGCCCUGAGCUUGCUUAAAGCCAUCAUGAGUCUGAAUCCUGCAGGAGUUUCUGCCAGAGGGGCUGAGAGUUGCAAUGAAUGGACUACUUAACCUGUGAACUAGUAGAAAAUAAUGUUGACCUCCAGCUAUCCAAGCAGUAUAUUUACUAAAUAAAUAAACUGUAAGGAAUGCCCUUCUAUUCCAGGGUCAGGUCAAUGUACAAUUUUAGGUGAAAAAUAAUGCUAUUUAUGGUUUUCUCCCUGUAAGUAAAUCUAAAUUUACUAUGUAGCUAGAUGGAAUUCAUUCAGUAAGUGUAUCAAAGACUGUAACUAACGAUUAUUUUAUGAAUUUCUUUCUGUGGUUGUACAAUCAACAAAUAUACAAUCAGCAAAGUGGCAUGGUUAGGCUGGUAUUUUACAGGAUUGUCACGGUGGAAAGGGAUAAUUGAAAAUAAAUGAAAAUGCUCACCCAUAUCCUAGGCUUGCAGAAAAUCACCAAAAGGAGCAAUCUCCAGAAAGAGAUGCUUCCCCCAUGACAGCCAGCCCUCAGAAGGGGUCUAGGAGAGGUGGAACCAGGCUCCAUCCCUUCCAGCCAUACAGUUGAAUUGCUUUCACCUGUUCUCCCACAGCUAACUCAGUGCUUGCCUCAGGUGAUCAGUCAGUGGUUCAGGCUGUAAUUCAACAUUCCCACACACUCCACUACUUCACAGUAUGAACCAACGAUCAGGUUAGCUAGAGGGUGAGCCUUCUCUAAUACAGAGAUCCAAUACAUCAUGAUGCUUAUACAAUUGCUUGUUGCGAUGCAUAUUGACACAAUUUAAGACAAGUGAUGAUCAGCAUAUGGUGAAAGUUCAUGCUCUUUUAUGGGCCAGUACUUGGUGGUGUUACUGGAGGCACGUAGUCGUGUGGUACAGGAUCAUCCUAUGCUCCAUCAGUCCCAUGUAGACCGUCACUGGGUGUCACACAUGAUCUGACAGCAACACUAGAAUGCUUUGAUGGCAUUUUGUUCCAGUGAUCCUAGAGGCUCAAAGACUCACAGGGAGUAAAAUAGAUAUUUCAGAGGUACAAGGAGGGAAAGGUCUGACUUCCAGGGCAGGAUACAGGCCAUACAUAUAUCCUGGGUCAACACUUCAACUUGUACCAUGGUAUGUCCCAGCCACCUGUACCAUACCUUUUGGCCAGAUGUCUGUGGCUGCAUAACUAUAUCAGGUACUAAAGGGGGUAUUCUGAUCUGCCCUAGGGACACAAUAGCAGUCCCUUUAGCGAUGAAGAUUGUAGUGUUGACCACAAUAUCUGUAGGCUAUAUACCUAUUAUUGAAGGGACUACUGAUCCUCCCAGCUUCAGUAAUCUCCUCCAAAGCACAAGUAUGCCAUACCAUUUGGUCCUACCUCCACCUUCCAAGGCCAUUUUAUUCUAUGGGGGCCCAGAUCUAAAUUCUCAGGGGCAAAGAGCAGAUUAUUUUCAUUGCUAGUCUAGGGUCUUACUUGAUUACUGGUACCCAUAAUUUGGACUCUAAGUGGAGAGAUCCAUGUUGCCUGUAGCAUUUUCAAGGUACUGGAUCUGCUAUCUCUAGGUCUUUCAUUCAGGUCCCUCAGGGUUUCAUAGAGUCUCUUCAUCCACCCCUGCAGGAAAAGAGAGUCUGCCUUCAGGGCUACUAUAAGAAUACUGUUAUGAUGUUCAACGAGGCCUGCCCCCAUUGGAUUAUAGGGCAGGUGAAAGCUUUGAGUGAACCCUCCAGAAAGAAAUCUUUCCCCAGUGGCAGUCAGCCCUUAAAUGGGGUCUAGGAGAGGUGGAGCUAUGCUCCACCCCUUCCAGUCACACAGUUGAAUUACCUUCACCCACACUCCCAUGGCUGACUCAGUGCUUGCCUCAGGUGAUCAAUCAGUGAUUCACAGGUGAUCCAUCACCUUUUCUUAGUUUCACUGGUUGUUAAAAAGGGAGCAGAUCAGGCUGGCUUGCUCAUCUCCAGCACCUUUUCUGAUGUGAUGAGUCUUUCCUCUUCAGUCUGCAGAGCAACAGCAGGCUUUGGAGGCAGUCUCCCUCUAGCUUGCCAUGGUUAUUUAGAAUUACAGGCACACAUCUGGGAACAUUUCUGCCACCUCAGGCAAGUCUGGUAAUGUCAUUCAGAUAAGGGAUUGGAAUAUGGGUCUGAGUUUGCACCUGACUUGGCAUUAUGCUUUAGUGUUCCUAGUAACUACUACAAACUUAUUUGAACUUUCUUCCUAAACAAGUUUUUAGCUAGGCAGAUGCCCCCACCAACUCUCCUGUAUUCUACUGUGCAUUCCUUGAGACAUACAGGCUUCAGCAUAACACUUAAAGAAAAAAAAUCCCUGCCAACUCUGACUGCAAAUUCACAUUACAUUAAAAGCAGAAUGGAAGAUUAGGGUACUAAAAAAAAACUUUACAAGCUAAACAAACCCUUACAGUAAAUAGGUUUGCAAAGAAAUCUGUCUUUUUCUUCUUAAAUUGCUUCAAAGAUGAAAGUUCCUUGUUGAUGGUUUAAGGGCUGGUCCAGCCCGGUUCCAUGACUAGUGGGGCGGAGGGCUUUCGCAAAAUCCGCACCUCUAGGAAGGGAAACAGGGGACCCCAAAAUAAUUUAAAAACAGCGGCAACGAUCUGAAGAGAAACAAACUAAUUUACUAAAUAUAGUAUCGGAAUGUAAGAUAACACACUAUAAUACAAUGUAAAUCAACAAUAAUUGAGAGAAAGAUUGUCCAAGAGCCAAAGGACUUACACUAAUACUGAAGCCUUGUGCGCAGUCGGAAGCAACAGUAGCGAGCUGAUCCGGUAGGGAACAUGGCAAGACGAGAAGAAGGCUGAGUCAGAUGACCUGCACCCUUAUAUCUAUUCCCUUGAGCAGGAAUGAUAACAGUAGUCGAAAAGACUCUUGGGGAACGCAGUUCUUCUUCUCUUCCAGACAGGUACAUGAAACUAAAGCAUUUGCUCUUUAACUCCCAGUACAAUGCAUGAUAUUGUGAUGUGCAAUACUGAUAACCAGAAAUCAUAAAACCAUGACAUUCCUGUUUUAAGAUUCUGGAAAAAUUAUCUUUAUAUAAAAUAAAUAAAUAAAUCUGGAACUGAGUUCAAGUAGAAGGAAUAGAAUGCAUGAUUCCAAAUUUUACGUGUGUCAUACAAUAGGUUUGUAUAUAUUGCAUAGAAUUCUGUAAAGUAGCAAGACUUGAUUAAGGGGAAACAUACACAGCAACUUUCUGAAGACUUGGCUUCUAAUCGUACAGCUUCUAAUCAUACUGUUAUCAACGGCUUUUCUAACAAUGGGUGCCAUCUUUUUAUAGAGCUGAUCAAUAACGAAAGAAAAUAUCCUACAUUUUCUUCUAAAAAGAAGUAACACAUUAGCUUGCUUUGUCACGGCCUCCUUAUAUUGGUAAAAAUGUCUGAGAAAUUAUACAGGGUCCAUUAUUUGGAAAAUCCAUUGGGAAAAUGGUAGCAAAGAUGAAAUAAUAAUGAAUAAAGUUACAAUAUCUAAAAUUGGGAAACAGAAACUAUGUCCUGUUGUUAAGAGAAUUAGUGUCUUCUAUGAAUACAGAGUCUGAAUAUGUUUAGUGUUGCUAUGUGAAACAAAACUUCAGGAUGUAAAUUUUUUCUCUCUCUUUAUUUGAGGGUAAAACCAGGAUUUCUUGUUGUCUGUGACAUUUUUAACUUCUACCAUCAAAUUUUGUAGAGUUCUCCCAAGAUUAUGAAUUUUCAUUUUCCUCAUGUGCCUGUAUCAAGGAGCCAGGAUGUCUUCAUGCCAUGAGGUGAAAGACAAAGUCCUCUAAAAUUUAUUCUUUGAGAAUCCAUCUACAGUUAAGGUUUGAGACAGUCUCCAGCCCAGAGAUUCAGGGCAUCUUUGUGUAUUCUGUUCAAAAUAAUCAAUACUACAGUUUAAAGGAGACAAGGGAGAGACCAAGUGAUGAUCAACAGCAAAAUCCAUGACCAGGGCUCUCUAUAAAGAGAGAAGACCUUGGCUGUGCAUGACUUCCCAGAUCAUGACAAAAGAUAAUCGAAGUGGCAGCAAAAGCAAAACUCCUUUGAACAGUCUUAGAGCAGAAGGAGGAUGCUACUAGUUUCAGCACAAUUUGGUGUCAUUACUCAUCUCUCUUUCUGUGGGAAUGUCUGGUCUGCCCACAGCUGUGCUAUAAAUCAUAAUUAGUAUCAUGAAUAUUUUUCCUUCACAGCAGUUAAUGAACUAAAUAUCAGAAGUUUAUUACUUUAUUAGAGAACUGUUACAACCUUUGAACACAAUAUGUUGUUUAAAGCAAAAAUGAUGAUGAAUAUUCACUAGGAACUUUUUUAUUUUAUUUCAUUUCACUUUUUUUUUCCUUUCUAUACACAAGAUGUAGCCACUUUUAUUUGUCUGAAGGUGACAAAAGAAGGAAACACUACACAGGUCAGUGGAGUUAAUGUGGGAUUGAACUGAAUGGAGAACUAGGUUUGUAAUGUAGCCCUGAGUCUGCCUUUUCAUUGUUCUUAUGCUGGUAUCACUACUGAUUCAGAGUUGUUUUUCAUUGGUAUUAUUCAAACAGGUAGCACCUCCACACAGAAAUUACCCUGGGAUCCUGGUGGAUGGCAAAUUUAAUGUGAACUGUAGAGAACUCUUCUGGUGAGAAAGACCUGCAGUAUACUGACUUGCAUUAGUUCAGUGCAGACAGCAGAUCAAGUGAAAUAAUUGCUCCCCUUCAGUCAAAUGCUGUGAUGCUGUAUCUGAAUGAGUUCCGUCGUGGUCUUCACAGCCAAGAAAGGUAGUGACAAACUGCAGAGAGCCCAGGGAAGGGUUAUUAAAUAUAAACCAACCAUUUGGUUAGUGGUGUACUUCCAUGGGGACAGGCUGAGAGAACUUGAUUUGCUUAGCCUGCAAAGGAGAAGGAAAAUUCUAAUUGCUAUUGUUAACAGUGUUUUUGGCUAGAGAGGAGACAGAUAGCAUCAGACUCUUAGAAGUAAAAUGCAAGAUGACAGAAGGCAGUGUUCAUAGGUUGCUACAGGGGAAAUUCUGAAUGGAAACAAGGAAGAAAAUCUUCACAAUAAAGACAUCUGAAUGCUAGUACUACUUGUGCAGGGGGGAUGAGGCAUCUCUACUCUUGACAAAACUCAGAACUUUUCUGAACCCAGAUCUGAGACUCCUGGUCAAACUUUGAAGUUUGCCCUGCUUUGAGCAGGCGAUUAAACUGAGUGACCUACAGAGAAGCCUCCCAGCUGAAGCAUUCUAGGAUCCUUUGAUCCUGCACAUACUAGCCAUUGGCUGGAGGAAAAAAAUAAGACAUUUUCUGGCAUAUACAUACCAAAGUUUUAGUCAGCUCAGUUGUGCUGUGACCAAAUUUGGUCAUUGCCUACUAAACUAAUCUUGGUGUUUGAUAGUAUCUCUAAAUAAUUUCUGGUACAUAGCAGAGAGCAUAUUUUUAGGUUUCUACAACAAAUAAGGAGCAGGGUGUUUUCUAAUUAUACAGAAGGAACUAUGGUCUACUAUGUAUUAAAGGGGACAUCAGCUUGUGAAAAGUCCUCCCAGCUUGACAUAAGCAUUUCUGUUUUCCUCCCUGUGUGUUAUACGUAAUCACAUCUCUAGAAUUUUGACUUAAUGUGGUAUGGAUAACUUCACAUCUCAGCUGUUGAGACUGAUUAAUACAUACAUUCAGCAGUGUUUGAUAAAGAUUUCUUCCUGCUGUAAAUAUCCACUAUAUAUAAAUAUCCACUGUCCAAAUGAAUACUGUUGAAGUAAUAAUUCAUUUCAAAGUAGACUAAGCAAAUCUGAGAUUAUAUUGAAUUGUCUCCAGACUCCAUUAAAAGCAUAGUACAUGGUAUCAUUUUCACUCAGAGAGCCACCAGGAAAUGAAGCAAUCUGCUAAGCUCUCAUUUCUCAUUUUUUAGCAACUGUGUUUAUGUGGAUUUUUUGGGAAAUAAUAGGAAUUAAGAGACAAGGUUUGCAUUCUCAGCACGUGAUCCUGAGUAGGUCAUUUUUUUAAUCUCCAACUCACUCUGUAGAGAAGGUAUUUACAUGUAUUUUUAUUUUAUGACAUUCUUGAUUUAUGGAUUGAGAAGAAUGCAGUGUAUGAGUUAGAUCUUAUAAAAACAACAUUAGAAUUGACAUUGAAAAUGCAGCCAUUUAUGAAUUCAGUAUUUAGUCAAUACUGCAUAUGGAAUUUAACAGCAACAAUAUCCAGCCAGAUGUGAUUUCCUCUCAUUUUAUAUUGCAGGGUAGGGGGAAAUGUAUGCAACUAAAACCAAACCUUGUAAACAGCAACAGCAGCAACAACAGACUAAUCUGUGGAAAGUUAAUUGAACCAUUCCAAGCACUUUAGGAUGUCAAAAUCUUUAAAGCUGAAAAAUAGGCAUUCCCCUCAAAUGGUCUCUCUCCUGCUGGUAUAGAACACCUUGAUGUAGAGCUGUAGGGUUUAUUUGUGCCACAGAGCAUGUCUGUUACUUUGUAUGUGCUGCUGAAAAAUGUGUUAGUAUUUAAAUAUUAGCACAAAAGAAUGUUAUAUUUCCUGCUCUAACAAGAUCAGUUUCGAUAAAACCAAAUUUAUUCAUUCUUUUCUAUCCAUAUCUUGCAGCAUCAUUUUGCACUUCUCUUAGAGACUACACUACAGCAAUGUGAUCUGUGGUAGUCCUGUGAGCCCCAGGACCUUGAGUUACUUCCUUGCUGAAUCCAGUGGCAGCCUUGACAAGCAAUCUCGUUAGCAUUAGCCUACAAUUAAAUUGAAAGGAAAGUAGCUAAGCAUGCUUUUAUCUUUCUAAGACUUAUUAAAUUUCUUUCUAAACAGAAACUAUGAAUAAAGGCCUUGUGAUGCUAGCCAGCAGACAAUUCCUCAGAUGUAUAAGUUGAUAUAGACUAGUUAUUAAUGAAAGGAUAGAAAAGAUUAUGUUAAUUACCACCUGGCAUCGUGAGACUCUAAUCGCAUUCAGAAUAUCAAUGAAGCCAAUGAUUUUGAUUGUCAGAGCAAUAAUUUUGAGGGCUUGGUCCUUGGAGAUAUCAUAGUGAAGUCCUCUUCAGAAAAGUCUCAUUUCAUUUUAAUGAAAAUAUUCAAUAUUUGAGCUGAGAUGCAGAUUAAAGUCCAAGCUGAAUGUGAAAUCUAACUCAAAAAGCACUUUAAAAGCCAUCAGAUAAUUGCAAAUUUGGAUAAGAAACCUAGAGACUAGCCCAACAAUCAACUUAGCUGUUUCUUUUAGCUCAACAAAAGCCAGUGACUUCUAAAUAACAAUCAAACAGGUAAAAUUAAUAAUUGAGUCAGCUCCAAAUCUCAGUUCUGACAGCUUAAUUUGAGUAAAAGCUUUAUGUGAACUUUUUUAUCUAAUAGAAAAUGUGGUCUAUUUUAAUACUCAGAUCUAAACUUCUACAGUUAAAAAAAACGGGAAAAAAAUGUAAUUCAUCUCACCAUGUAAAAGCUACCCGUUGCUGCCCUGUAUUAUUCUUAUGAUAACUUGAAUUUUUUGUUAGCUGCUGUCUGUGUCUGAGGUUAUUUUCUAAGAAGCUUUGCCAAUGCUUAAUUUCUACUUACAGGAUGAGUGUAGCAGAAAAUAAUGCAAAUGCCAAAGCAGUUCAAAACAAACACAGCUUUUCUUCUGCCAUACAAACCCAUUACAGUGUUUACCAGUCCACCUGUGGGGUUCUGUUCAUGCUAUUUGUUAAUCAGCCCACGCUUCCAAACCCAAAAGUGAAUUUUAAUCUUUUUUAGAGCUGUGUUUUCUUGGAAUUAUUAUCUGCACCCCCUCAAAAACAAAACAAACCCACAAAAAUGUGUGAUUCUUGAUGUAGAGGAUUUCAGCUACUGAGGGAAUGUUAGUUGGCUUACCUAAGGUACUUUCUGUGGAAAGCCUUGAUGUUGUCCAUUUUGAGACCACCAAUUGAGUAGGUCAGUAUUCUCAAAUUAAAAUAAUUGUUAGAAAAAAAUAAUAAUUGAGGAACACUCCUGGCAUGUUACUGUGCCUAAACUGAACAACACUUCUAUAUCAUUUGAGGGUAGCCAUUUUGUUUUCUAAAUGUAAAUAUCAAGCACCAUGCUGUCUGCUUCCUCUGAAGGACCUAAGCACUGUAAACGUUUAGUGAUUGUAAAGGAAAACAGGGAAAUAUCAUCAGGGGAACUGCUGAUACCUGUAGCAUACGCUGAAGAUAUAAUGGCAAAGGAAACACUGAGUUAUUUUUGAGAUUGUUUUGGGUAGUUUGUAAGCCAAAGGUGAUACAAGAACUGUUAUAAAUAAAUUUGAAUUACUUUGUAGCAAGCAGUAUUCUCAAUUUAUUAUUGAAGAUUUUAUAUAAUGUAAAUUUUCACAAGAAUGAAUAAAAUAGAGUUUUAUUUAUUUACAGUAACAUAACUCCAUUGCCAGUGGACUUCUAAUAUCCAUCUGGAGGUAGGAUAGUUGGGUGUUUUGAUAUUUACAGACAUGAAUAGGUUUCUAAAUUACAUGUGGUGAAUAGAUCUUCUCAGCAUUGUUUGAGCUUGCACAGGCUUUCUCCUUUGAUCCUACAUAUUAGUCUGUUUAGUUCUAGGUUUAGGAGCUCAGAAGAUUCAAAGUGUUGAGGAGAAGGUAUUAAGCUCACGUAUUUAUUAGAUGCCCAAGAGUGAGUUUGUGGAGGGAACUGUAGGGUCAAAGUAACCUCUAUACAGUUUAUCUGUGUACUGUGUAUUAUUCAGGUUACUCACAGAUGAAAAUAAUAGUAAUAAUAAUGGGAAUAUUUGCAUAGAACCAGAAGACAAAUGGAACACAGUGUUGUUAGAGAUUGUCUUGUAGCUGUUAUGUAAACCAAAGGCUCAGUAAAAUAGAAUAAUAACUCCUGUCUGUGCAUAUAUCAAGUAAAUACCUAGAAGCCAAAUUGUUUUGUAAGCUGAAUGUCUUAGGCUUGUGGUUGAGGCAUGCAACUCAGUGAGGUUCUCCCCUGUAUGAUCAGGUUCUGUGACUUGGAAAGUAAAAAUUAGAAACAUAAAGGUGAGCUCAUAUAGAGAACUUAGAGCAAUGUGUAGGCUUGACCUUUGGCGAUGAUUGGCUACUUGAAAUAUGUGAGGGAGAGCGAUAAUCAAGAACGGUCCUUGGCCCAUCACCUAAUUCCCUGCAGUAUCUUUCACAGUGGCCCAUACAGACAUGCAUAUGUAUAAUUUGGAUAAGGAAAUAAACUUAUUUUUUUUCUCUAUCUCUGACAGCUUGAUGUUUGAAAUGAAUGAGUCUGCUGUUCAAGAGACAGGGUAGGGUGCUUUAAUGAGAACACAUGCUUGCUUACAACAAAUAAAUGAGAAAAUACAAUCUCACACAUGUAAGAAUGUAUUAUGAUCUUAGAACUGAACAUCCUGAAAAGCAAUUUUUUACUGUAAAUUGCACACUUGUCUAUGAGCAGAGCAGCCUUUGAUAAAGAGCAGUAAAUAUUCAAAGCAAAAAUACUUUGUUCCUUGUUACAAAUAGCGAUCUAUUGCUAAACUGAAGGCCAAUUAAAGCUACCUACAUGGAUAAUCACAGUUUCUGAAAAAAAAUGUAGGUCUUUCCUCAGCUCAUAGAUUUAUGACCUUGGAUUUUUACUCUGCAGCACAAGGAGCAUCAAUUGAAUUUGUUAGAAAAAUGAAUCUGUAAUAUCACAAAGUUUCAACAUGUUCCUGAACUUUUUUUUUUAAGCAAAUACCCUUUCUGCAGCUCAUAGAUGAGUAAUGUAUUAUUAAAAAAAAUAAUAAUAAAUUACUUAAAAAUGUAGUGAGGGAGUGAUUAAUUUGCAUUUUUAUUUUGGUCCUUGUAAUUAGCAGCUGUUAAUAAUCAAGUCUAACCUGACUCAUUUGCAAACAGAGGUGAGAGAGCUAUGGAGGAUUAAAAUUCUCAUGAUAUUCUAAGAAUUCAGAAAUCCAUGAAGCAUAAUUACCUCUAAGAAAUGGUAGAAAUUGUUAGUAUGAAGCCACCUGACAAAAGGAAUGUUGAUUCAUAACUUUUUCUGAAGACAUAUCUUCUGCGUCUACUUUGAUUAUAUACAGCAAUAGAAAUUUCUGGAAAUUCACUUUUCACAGCAAUGUAAAUAAAGGUAACAGCUGUAUAAGUUUAGAAAAUUUUUUGUUUUCUGGUUUAUUAAAUCAGUAUGGCUCCUUUCAUGUUAGACAAGGAGGCAGUUCUAAGUAUAGUAAAUACAAUCGGGCUUUACUUUAUACUCUAAAUAUAGUUUGUACCACCAGGGAAGAGAGUAACAAUAGCUCUUCUAAAGCUGCCUAGAGAGUGUAAUCAUGACCUCGUCACAAACAAGAUUUGGUGUGCAGAAUUCUUCUGUCUUCAGCUGUUGCUUAGGCAAUGGGUACUGCCAACUCCUACUGCUGAGCUAAAAUAUGGCUUUACUGUGGUUUUGGGCCAAUUACUAGUUGAUGGAGAUUGUUCAGCAGCAAUUAAGAUGAGAUUACACAUGCUUCUGCUUGGAUGCACAAGUUUUCUCCCAACAACCUGGAUUGGUCAUAUGAGACUUUGCUUCUUUGCUGUUACCAGUACUUUUGCUUGCUACUUAAACAUGGGAAUACAAGAAAAAUUGUUCAGAGCAGCAGCUGUGGAGCAAGAUAAACAGCAAGAGAACCAAGGACACCUCUAGAAGAAGAAAGAAUGGCUUGCAGCUCUGAUUGGAUAAACGCUCGCAUGAAUGUUUGAAGAGUGUUUGUAGAAUGCUCUGUUGACAUGUAAAGGAGGAUGGGAAAGCUAGAAAAAGAAAACUUGUGAAGAUAUAUAAUUGAUGUGAGAACUUGUAAUAAACGAUUUGGAUCAUUCACAUCUGAGCCCGUGCAUCAGAUGCUGCAUUAAAGAAAGAGAAUAAUUGCCUGUACUGAUAUUUCAAUUUUUAACUUCCAAAGGAGGUAGGUAAAAUUUCUUAGAUAGUAUUGCUUCUACAAUUUGUGAGUGUUAGGUCAGGGAGUUUUGCUGAUAUUUUGGAGCAGUAAAUGUCAGAGCCAAAGCUACAUACAAGCACCAAAGACUGCAUAUUCAGCUUUUAAUUCAAUCAUGC